rnacentral:rRNA from 1 species
GGGUCAGUAGGUUGGUCGUGCCACCGGUACGUACUGGUCUCACUGGUUCCUCCUUCCUGAAGAACCGUAAUGCCAUUAAUUUGGUGUUGCGGGGAAACAGGACUGUUACUUUGAAAAAAUUAGAGUGUUUAAAGCAAGCUAACGCUUGAAUACAUUAGCAUGGAAUAAUGAAAUAGGACGAUCGAUCCUAUUUUGUUGGUUUCUGGGAUUGACGUA